CCCUUAGAUGUUCUGGGCCGCACGCGCGUUACACUGAUGCAUUCAACGAGUUCUUCCUUGGCCGAGAGGCCUGGGCAAUCUUUUGAACGUGCAUCGUGAUAGGGAUAGAUUAUUGCAAUUAUUAAUCUUGAACGAGGAAUUCCUAGUAAACGCAGUUCAUCAAACUGCAUUGAUUACGUCCCUGCCCUUUGUACACACCGCCCGUCGCACCUACCGAUUGAAUGGUCCGGUGAAGCUUUUGGACUGCGCGUGGCUUCGUGCCGUGUCGCGGAAAGUCAGCUAAACCUUAUCACUUAGAGGAAGUAAAAGUCGUANCA
rnacentral:rRNA from 1 species